UACAGAGGUCUCAAGCGUUGUUCGGAUUCAUUGGGCGUAAAGGGUGCGUAGGCGGCGCGGAAAGUCGGGUGUGAAAUUUCGGAGCUUAACUCCGAAACUGCAUUCGAUACUUCCGUGCUUGAGGACUGGAGAGGAGACUGGAAUUUACGGUGUAGCAGUGAAAUGCGUAGAGAUCGUAAGGAAGACCAGUGGCGAAGGCGGGUCUCUGGACAGUUCCUGACGCUGAGGCACGAAGGCCAGGGGAGCAAACGGG
rnacentral:rRNA from 1 species